CUCCGGUUCGGUGGCUGUGGUGUCUGCUGCAGUGCUUGGAGCCCUCAGGAAGCGCUAGGAGCAUCCUUUAACGGAGGUACCCAGUCAGGGUGCCAGGCGAUCCGUUACAUUGGUGGCAGCGGUGGGAUGGCGUCCUAGUGCGAGGUAAAGCAGCUCAGAGACACAGUUCGUUUGGAUUUACAAAUUGAAGGCGACGCUAGUGUUUAUACAGCGUCCCUGUCUACAUAAAGAUUUGGGAAAAUGGGGUUUGUGGAUCCUUGGGCAACACGCACACCUGAGGAAGAGAGUGAGUUGGAAUGGAGAGAUAUUGCCCGGCAAGAACUAUGGUACGAUGCCCUGGAGGAAGUCCAGUAUCAACGGCAGCAGCGCCUUCCUGGUGUCGCAUACCGGUUGGAGGAACAAAUGGCCUGGCGGAUGCCGCUUCUGGGAGACCAACCCGGAGGGCAGCAAGUCAGACAACUUGAGUACCUCGUGGAAAGGGAACUGAGCCUUGACGCCUCAUACCGGGCACUGUGGUGGUGCACUGUCCAGCCAGAGACGUGGAGGGCAAAGGGCAUCCAGCCGGAGGGGGAGAACUACACUAGCCCUGGCCUGUUGUGGAAGGCCUGAGCAGAAGACGUCGACUUUGGCAGUCCAGCAGAGUCACGGUACUGGGCUAUCUUUUAUUACCGGGGUGAGAUGGUACAGGGCCCGAGAUCUAUGGGACUGGGACAAGACCUCCACCGUUUGGCUGCCAUGGAACGACAGCUAGAGAUGGACUAUGUGGAACUUCUGAACUCAUGUCAGCCGCAGAGCAUAGACGCAGAACAGGAAAACUGGGUGGCGGACCCAGACCUGCCAACCUACAGCUGGGAAAACGCAGCCAAGGUCCCCACUGCUUCACUACCAGUUGCAGAAGUAGGGGACCUCAUAGAUUGGUCCUGGGAAGACCCACCGAUGGCAGGUAGAGAUGGGACGGCUGUCUCUCUACCGGCCCAACAGGGAUGCUGGGCAGUCGGCCCAGAUCCCCAGCGGCUGUGUGUACCCCAGGGAGCUGAAGGUGCCG